AGGACCAUGCCUUUGUUACCUGGCUCCCCUGUCUCUGUCUGUUCCUGUGUCUACCUUCUGUUCCCUGUCUCGACAUCAACCCUAGCCUCUGCUGUUCUGGUGCUCAUACCCGGGCUCUGCCUUCCACAGGCUGAUUUCACGGAGCACUCAACCUGGCUUGUCUUUGCUUCCAUGUCUUGCCCCGGGGUUCUUCUUCUACUCUCUCCAGCUUCCCUUCUCCCUGUCUUUCAUGAUUUACAUCUAAAGGUAGCCUGGGUUCUUCCCUUUAUGGUAUCGUUUCCAGUGCUUCCAGAUUCUCUGUUCCAGGAUCCUUCUUAUCUUCUCUCCCCACCCCACCCCCAUUCUGAGCAUCAUCCUUAUCUUGAGGCUCUACCACCAGUCCUCGACCCUCUGUGUGCACAGCCUGGCCACCUUUGAAGCACCUUUAUCUCUUGCUCUUUUAGGCUCUGGCUCUUAGGUUCCCUGGACUUCUCCACACAUCUCCUUCAUCCAGUGUGAUCCUCUCUACGGGUCUCUUCACUGCUGCUCAGGUCUGAUCUAGGAAGAAGAGUGGGCUUAAUUGGGAGACGGGAUGAAGGUAUAAAGAGGAGACUUGGAGGACCUGGGCUCUCCUUUCUGUGGCCUCCUUAUGCCCAGAAUCUCUCCCUUUUCUGUUUCCUCUGCUCAAGCUGUGUGUUGGUUUCCCAUCUCUUCUGACUGCAUCUGAUUGACUGGCCUUUCCUUCUUCCUUCCUUAUUUCGUUCUCUGUUCUCCCUCCCCUGCUGUUUUUGCUAUUGGUAACCAACCCUUCAUCCUCAGCACAGGGCCCAUGCUCUGGUUGCCUAGCUCAGUGGUCAGAACACAGAGGGCUGUUGAACAGGAGUCUGGCCACACACGAGUGUGUCUGUAGGUGGGGUUGAGGGGAGACUCAAAGAGAUGUCUUCAAAUCCCAUUGUCUUUCAGACCCACAUUCCUAAAGCUACCCUGAGCAGCCCAGCUGUGACAGAGUAUCUCAGGAACUAGCUUGGCUUAGCUGGAGCGGACUCACUCACUCCUUUUUCUACCCCCAGGCCCGGCAGUGAUUUAGUUCCCGAUCCUUCCAAACUCUGGUCCCUCUGUUGUCUGCUUUCUCUUGAGAUGGCUUGCCACACCUAGGGCCAAACUCUAUCUUCCAGCUGCUGCAGAGGUCAAAAGCCUUGCAAAUGGAAGUCACAGAGGGGAAGUGAUGGAUGAAAUGAAUACUGCAGACCAGGGGGUGGGUGCUGGGAGGAUGGGGAGGAAGAAAAAUAGGCUAAGGUUACUGUCCUCCUGGCUAAGUGGAAGGUGCAAGGGACACUGUGGAUAGCUGUGUUUGGAAUGCCACGUGACUACAUCUCUCAUCCCGUGUCCUCUCAGAGACCUGCCUGGGAUGGGAUCUAAGGGGACAUUACUACAUCUGCUGAGGGGGUCAUACCUUUGCAGACUGAAAAGUCACUGGUCAGUUCCUACACCCCAGGACUUCUGUGGCCCAGCUCUGCAUAUUAUCAGCGUAGGAUACUAACUAGCAGUGGCACCUAUGUGUGUGGUGGAUGAGCUUCAGAGUUCAGUUUGUAGUAAGUUGUGGACCAGACAAGCCUCACUCUUAGAGAAGAAAGAGACCCAUAUUCUGGCCAAUUGGUGCACUCUAUGCUUGGGCCAGACACAGAGUCCAGGCCUUACCUUGACCUCCUCCUCCAGUUGCCUCUUGAGGUCCUCCAGCUGCUGUGUAUACGUGAGCUUGCCUCGGGUUAGCUGAGAGAUCAGAGCCUCCUUCUCGUCCAGCUGCCGGGACAGCUCCCCUGGGGAGGCACCAAGCUUGGCCCGCUGGCUGGUGAGGUCAUUGACAGAACGCUGCGUCUCCUCGGCCUUGCUCCGGUGCUCAUUCAUCUGGUCUUCCAAGGUCCGGC